UAAGACACUAUAUUUAUCUAGCCGAGCAAGGGCCCGGUGUGGACUCAGGUGACCCGUCCGAGCAGCUAGGGCGCCACCCCAUGAACAUCCGCUACCCCUCGGCCUUGCUGCCUCACAUGCAGCCCUGGGCACCAGGAUGGUGUGAGGUGGCCCUGUGAGCCCCACAGGGAAGGCGGUUCUGAGAGAGGUGGCAGCCCUAGACGUCAAUGCCGCCAGUGGUGUCCCCGGAGCCCCGGUCUCCAGGAUGUCCCAGCUCUCCUCCCCCCUGAAACGCUAUGGAGACGCCUCCCGCUACCCAGCCUCCUCCUACAGCAAAUCCCCCACCAGCUACGGCUCCUACUCCUCCUCC